CAAAAUGGGAGUCCAAACCACCUGUUCAUGGAGUUUAGUGUUCAUGGUCUAGAAGAGCCCUGGCUGGAUUUUAUAUGUACUAUUUCUGCCACUGGCCAAGUAAAGAUCAUAGGAGAUGCUCGACACUCAGAAGUCAAAGCAUGGAAAGUGAGGUGUGGCAAAAGGAAAGCAGCUUUUAUUGGUCAAACGCCUACAAAUGAGAGAAUGGCCAGGCUCAAGCCUCAAAGGAUUCAUGGUUGGCUAAGUACCAAGUUGUUCAGGAAAAAUAUCUCACAACACUUCCAAUCAGAAUUCAGAGGAAAUGUCACCUACGUAAACUGCAACUUGACCAACAGUUACUUACAGAGAACCAGUUUAAGGUUUAUUUUCCACCACUGUGACUUUGUGCCCUUCUGUAAGCAUAUCAGGGAAAAGGAAGUCGAUGAUUUUACUCACUUACUUUCUCGGUCUCUGGUGUCCUUCCUAUAAAUUUACUGCAAGAGCUUCUAGAAGAUGCCCACAUUCCUUGGCUAGCAGCCCACGUUCCUUCAUCUCAAAGGCAGCAACAUUGCAUCUUUCUGUUAAUAGCCAAGAGAAGCUUAUUCUAGGAAUAAAAGGUGUGUUUUACAUCUGAAGCUUAAUUAAUGUAACGUACAAUGUUAAUAGAACUAAAGAAACCAUAUGAUAAUCUCAGUUAGCACUGAAUAUAAAAAAUCCAAUAUUUUCCCAACAGAGUUUAAACAAGUCUCUCUCCGGCAUGCUAUGUUCUAAUCCAAGAAUUUCCAAUCUGUGUUAAAGUUUCUCUCACCUUUUAAAUGAGUCUAGGUCACAAUAAGAUAUGUUUAUUAAAAGAAAAGACAAACACAAACAGGCAAAUCUUUAACUCCUAAUAUAGUUCCCAAGAAAAUGAUGUUUCCAAAACCUCAAACAUACAAUACUUAGAACUACAUUAGUAUGUUUUGAAAAUCAAAUACUGUAUAUAGGCUUGAUGUAUCUGAAAUUAGUACAUAUUCAGCAAAGUUAUAGGGAUAGAAAUAGAAUUCCUUAGAUAAUCCUAGCCAAGAUAUCAGAUAAAAAGUCAUUGAUAGGUUUUAAUAAUUCCAGCUUUUUGUAAUUUUAACUCCUGAGACUAUGCUAAAUAGAAAAUUCUGAAUGAGAGGUUGAUUGUUGCACCAUAUGUUUACUAUAUUUAGGUAAAUAAUCCAAUUAUUCAUAGAUUUUCCUUUGACAGAUUAGUACUUGAGACAAUCUUGUUUUCCUCAAAUUCUAGACAUUGCUAUGCUCAAUCCCACACUCAUAUUUUAUUGAAAUCUUCCUUUUUUCCUUUUAUGUCUAUUAACUUGUACUUACCCAUUUUAAAGUUAAUAUUUAUUCUCAAUAGUAGUAUUUGAGUAAUAUAAUCAAUAUUAAGUAUUUAAAUUAUGCAAAAUGAAAAUUCUGUCUCACUUCUCACCACCACAUUCAUUUCUAGUUGACAGGCCUCCACCUUUUUGCAGAUUUUAGCUAUUUCUUUGGUAGAAUUAUUAUAAUGCUAUUUCUGAAAUCAUUUAUGUUGGACCUUUAAUUAUGUGUUGACUGCCUGACAUGAUAUAUGAGGAUUUAUCUCUCUUUUGUGAGCAGCUACUACUCUACUCCAAAGAGAUGGGUGGUACCUAUCUAUUUUUUUAACUGAUAUUUUUGUUUUGCACAGAAUUUCUACUUUAAAAAUGGUUUUAUAUUCUAAUUAUGGAAUCCUGCACAUAUCAAAAAGUAUAAAUAACACAUUUAUAAAAUAUUUAAAGAGGCUUAAUGAAUUGGACACCAUCACAGUUUAAUUUUUUAUUUGACAUUUAAAAAUAUCUUUAUUGACAUAUAAUUCAUAUAGCAUAAAAGCUACUUAUUUAAAGUAUACCACUCAAUGGUUUCUAGUAUGUUCACACAUUAUUACCACAAUCAAUUUUAGAUCACUUUCAUUCCUGCAAAGAGAAGCCCUGUAACAAUUAGCUGUGGUUUCUCAGAUUCUCCCAUAACCACUCUGCCACCAGGCAUAGGCUAUCGUGAACCUUCAUCUCGGUAAAUUUGCCUAUUUUGGACAUCUAAUAUAAAAGGAAUCAUAUAACCAGUGGUUUCAUUCAGUUAGCAUGUUUUCAAGGUUUAUCUGUGUCAUAGAAUGUGCCAAUAGUUCAUUCCCUUGUACUGCAAAAUCAUAUUAUGUUGUAAGGAUACACUACAUUUUAUUUAUGCAUUCAGUCAUCAGUUGAUAGACAUGUAUUUUUUGACUUUUGGGCUUUUGUAAAUAACAUUACUAUAGACAUUUUUGUACGAGUAUGUUUGUGGACAUAGUAUUUCCUUAUUCUUGGUUAUAUACCUGGGAGUGGAAUGGCCAAGUGAUAUGGAGCCUCAAAGAACUGCUCAACUAUUUUUCCAAAAAGACGGCACCAUUUUACUUUCCAGACAGAAAUCAAUAAAUCUUUCAGUUUCUCCACGUCUUUUCCAACACUUGUCACUUUCUUUUUUAUUGUAGUUAUUCUAAUGAGUGUGAUGUGGUAUUGCAUUUCCCAAAUGGAUAAUGAUAAUGUGUAUCAAUUCAUAUGCAUAUUGGUCAUUUUAUAUUUUCUUUGAAGAAAUGUCUAUAAUACAACUUGCUCAUAUAUUAAAUUGGGUUAUUU
rnacentral:lncRNA from 1 species